AGAGUUACUUUGCAUAAUUUCUUGGAUGAAGAGUUGUUAUUGACACAUGGUUAGAAGCAAUUUUCGUAUAUGGAUUUUGUCGAUAAAGAUAGUGAUAUUCUGCAUAUUGAGCCAGUAAAACCAACUCCAGUUGAGUCUACACUGUUCAAGUAUGUAGAGGAAGUAAAAGAUUUAAAGAACCUAGCUGCUAAGCUGCGUGCUGUAAAUGAAUUUGCGGUUAUUAUUUCUGUAUUAAUAUUUUAGAGUUUCUUUUCAAAUUGUCAAUUAUUCAAUAUCAGUUACUGCCCACCAACAGAAGAAGACAUUCCAGAAGGGAAAAGUUUGGUAAAAUUUUGAGAUUUCCUUACCCUUCAAUGGAUACUAAGGUGAGAUUUUUAAUUUUUCAUUGUCUUAAUUACUAAUACUAUUUUAGGUUGUAGUGGCAUAUAAUCCCUCUGG